AUAAAUGCUGUGAUGGAGAGAAAGAUAUUUAAUCUUUUUUACAGAGAGUUGGAUAAGGUGGAAGCCAACAUUAAGAUGAUAUGUAAUAUUCCCUCUUGAGCAGAUUUGCUAAACGAUUAAUUCUAUUAGGCAAAUCCGAAAGCCCAUCGUUACAAGGGAUAAGACUGUUAGGUCCGAUUUGAGUGAUGACGGUGUUGUCAUAAUAAGGGUGGUACCGCGGAAUGGAAUUAAAUCCUUCGUCCCUAUA
rnacentral:ncRNA from 1 species